AUUGAACGCUGGCGGCAGGCCUAACACAUGCAAGUCGAACGAGUGGCGGACGGGUGAGUAAUGUCUGGGAAACUGCCUGAUGGAGGGGGAUAACUACUGGAAACGGUAGCUAAUACCGCAUACCAUCGGAUGUGCCCAGAUGGGAUUAGCUAGUAGGUGGGGUAAAGGCUCACGUAGGCGACGAUCCCUAGCUGGUCUGAGAGGAUGACCAGCCAAACUGGAACUGAGACACGGUCCAGACUCCUACGGGAGGCAGCAGUGGGGAAUAUGGCACAAUGGGCGCAAGCGUGAUGCAGCCAGGCCGCGUGUAUGAAGAAGGCCUUCGGUUUGGAAAGUACUUUCAGCGGGGAGGCGUUACCCGCAGAAGAAGCACCGGCUAACUCCGUGCCAGCAGCCGCGGUAAUUC
rnacentral:rRNA from 1 species